AAUUGCUAUUGUGUUGCAACAAUAAGCAACAUUGAUACAACAAUGGGUUGGUAUUAUAUUUCAUGCGUGUUAUGUGGAAAAAAGGUCAAACCACAAUCAGGAUCAUUUUGGUGCGCAAAAUGUGAAACAAAAACAAAUCUGCCUAUCCCAAGGUUAGAGGCACACACAUUAACCACAAAGUUUGAAAAUUUUUAAAUAAACAUAUUCCUCUUACUAUAAUUACUAUACAAUUGCAAAAUACUUCAGAUACAGGAUUCAAAUUGAAGUUUUUGAUUCAACUGACAAGACAACUUUUGUCAUAUUUGAUCGAGAUGCUGAGAAAAUCCUAAAUAAAUCUGCAAAAGAUCUUGCUGAAAAACAAACCGAGAUUGAUAUUGAAGAAGGAAUCCCAUGUGAUCUUAAAAAAAUUAUAGGAAGACAAUACAUUUUUCUACUUCGCUUGAAUGAAUUCAAUCUGAAGGAUGGUUUUGAAAAUUACACAGUUGCUAAGAUUUUUGAUGCACCUUCAAAUGAGAAAAAGAUACCUAUGCAAAAUCUUAGCGACAACAAAUUUGCCAGCACAAACUUUGUAAGAUCCACCCAAGAAUCUUCCAGUGCCAUUUCAUCAAUGAUCAACACAAAUGACGCGACAAAAGGAGAAAUUGAUAAAGGCUCACAAAUUGAACAAGUAAGGAUAGACCAAACUUCAAACGCUGAAGAUGAAGCAACAGAUGAUGAUAACAUACCUCUCAACAUGCUCUACAAGCGUCGACAUACUUCAAAAAACAAGGCAUUCAAGAAACAAAAAAACAAAAUUUCACAAUAAAUCUCUUUAUUACAUCACAAAAUAAAUAUCAAUAAUAUGGAGUUUUAUAACGCUCUUUAUUA